GUUGCUUCACAGGCUGCAGUGGAAUUUAAGCCUUAAAUGAAAAAAGAAUAAGGCUCAUUGUGUUUUUAAUUUUGUUUCAUGUAGGCAAGAGGGGAGAAAAUUGAUUUUGGUCUCAGCCUUUUUUUUCUCAUACAUGUCACUGAUGCAUUUCCAACCCUUGGAGAAUUGGUGAAUGUGGGAAUACAGGCUCUAAUACAAAACACUUGGCCUGUUUUCAGUUCCUAACACAUACUCCAGAGUUCAUGUUAUGGUUAUCAGAAAGAAUCUAUGAAAAAUGAAGCUGCGCACAACUGCAGACCAUCAGCAUGGCUUAACCUUGUCAAGUGGGGAUGAAACAGGAAGUGCUUUGUGACACUGACUGGCAGAAAUACAAACUGAUGAAGAAAACACGCUGCAGGAAAGAGGAUCUGAGAUGAAAGUUCCACUCAAGAUCAGGAGCAAAUGUUCAGAUAGACUGCACCAACCUAGAAGAUCUUCAAGAAUAUGCUGGAAAGAAACAUACCAUUUUCC
ensembl:lncRNA